rnacentral:rRNA from 1 species
AUGCAAACCGAAGAACCUUACCUGGGUUUGACAUGUGCGUGUUACUGAGGUGAAAGCCGAGGGACCAUAUCUUCGGAUGUGGAGCGUACACAGGUGCUGCAUGGCUGUCGUCAGCUCGUGUCGUGAGAUGUUGGGUUAAGUCCCGCAACGAGCGCAACCCUGCAUUCAGUUGCCAACGGUAAGGCCGGGCACUCUGGAUGGACUGCCGGCGACAAGCCGGAGGAAGGUGGGGAUGACGUCAAGUCAUCACGGCCCUUAUGUCCAGGGCGACACACGUGCUACAAUGGCCGGCACAGCGGGAAGCGAGGGGGCGACCUUGAGCGGAUCCCUCAAAGCCGGUCUCAGUUCGGAUUGCAGUCUGCAACUCGACUGCAUGAAGUUGGAAUCGCUAGUAAUCGUGGAUCAGCCAAGCCGCGGUGAAUACGUUCCCGGGCCUU